CCAUAGGAACCGGGCUGAGGGCAGGGAAGUUGGAGCUUAGGAACUUGAUGGGCUGAGUGAUGAAGUAGCAGUUGGGGGUGCAGUUGGAGCUCCUGAGCAGGGCGGAGUUGGGAGUGGCUGCGGGAAGAGCAGGCCGGGGCUGAGUCCCAAAUUUUGGGUUAAAGUCCCGAUUGAAGGGUAGGAUUUGGAGUUUAAGACUGAAGCGAGGCAGGGCUGUUCCUACCCAGGUAGGAAUUGGGAUGGGGCUGAGUUUAAUGCCUUGGGAACGUGCCCACAAAUGCCGCAAUAGGAGAUGGAGCUUGGAAGCAGGGCCAGGCUGUGAGUUACUAUGUAGUAGUUGUGGGCGGAACUGAGAGUACCAGGUAGAGUGGGGUGGAUUUAUGGGAGGAGUAGGGAAGGGUUCGUGAGUGCUGAGGUUUCAGAGUGGCCUGUGCACAGGUGUGAGAGCUGGGUUAGGAGGUGAGGGAAGAAGUGUGGGCCUGUGAGUCCUUACUGUAGCAGGAUUGGGGGCAUCACUGUAGGAGGGGUAAGGGAAGAGCAAGGAGGUUUAUGGGAAAUAGUUGAGGGUUUAUUUUUUAUUUUUUUAGAGAUUGAACCCAGGGGCGCUUAAACACAGAGCCACAUCCCCAGCCCUUUUUCACAUUGACUCACAGUGCAGGUAGGGGCAUCUUCCAGGCUGAACUUUGAACCCUGGAACCUGAACCUAGGCAGCAUUAGUUAGAUAAUUGUUAAGAGGAAAGAAUGGCUACCUCUGGGUUAGGGGCUAGGAAGGUCUCAGACAACCAGGUUUUCCAGGUACUGAUACAUGUUCACUGGCAAUAAAGCACAGGAGAAAUGUUCCUCUUUGGAUGUGGACAACUCUGAAAUGAGACAUUUACCAGGGAAGAUGAAGUCCCUUGAGAGUAGAAUUUGCUCUACUGAUUAUCAUGUUUUCUACUAUAGUACCAAAGACACCCUUGACUAUAUUUUUAACAAGUGUGUAGUUUUUUUCCAGACAAGAUUAUAUUGUAUUUUCUGCAAGGUCUGCAUCCUGGAGGCUGUCCAGGGGUUUUUAUCUUCUGCAUGAAGAUUUCUUUCAGAGAAGAAGUGUAUUUGGCUCACAGUUCUGGAGGCUGGGAAAUGCAAAGACAUGAUGCUGGCAUCUGGAACACCAUGUCAUAACAUGACAGCAGGUGAAAAGAAAGCAACAUUUCAACCAAGAACCAAGUAGAAAUUGUGAUAUCUUCUCAACAUCCUGAGCUUCCAUUUCUACCUCAGAAGGGACUCCUUUGUUUUUAGAAGCUAAAGGAAAUCUUGUAAUCCAGUUACUUUCCAAGGUCAAUUCUAUUUGAAUGUUGGAUAGAUACCUUCCCAAGCAUUGUG